rnacentral:rRNA from 1 species
GACGAACGCUGGCGGCGUGCUUAACACAUGCAAGUCGAACGGAAAGGCCCUGCUUUUGUGGGGUGCUCGAGUGGCGAACGGGUGAGUAACACGUGAGUAACCUGCCCUUGACUUUGGGAUAACUUCAGGAAACUGGGGCUAAUACCGGAUAGGAGCUCCUGCUGCAUGGUGGGGGUUGGAAAGUUUCGGCGGUUGGGGAUGGACUCGCGGCUUAUCAGCUUGUUGGUGGGGUAGUGGCUUACCAAGGCUUUGACGGGUAGCCGGCCUGAGAGGGUGACCGGCCACAUUGGGACUGAGGUACGGCACAGACUCCUACGGGAGGUAGCAGUGGGGAAUAUUGCACAAUGGGCGGAAGCCUGAUGCAGCAACGCCGCGUGCGGGAUGACGGCCUUCGGGUUGUAAACCGCUUUCGCCUGUGACGAAGCGUGAGUGACGGUAAUGGGUAAAGAAGCACCGGCUAACUACGUG